GAAACCCUACGGGGCGCAGCAGUAGGGAAUCUUCCACAAUGGACGAAAGCCUGAUGGAGCAACGCCGCGUGAGUGAAGAAGGGUUUCGGCUCGUAAAGCUCUGUUGGUAGUGAAGAAAGAUAGAGGUAGUAACUGGCCUUUAUUUGACGGUAAUUACUUAGAAAGUCACGGCUAACUACGUGCCAGCAGCCGCGGGAAUACGUAGGUGGCAAGCGUUUUCCGGGUUUAUUGGGCGUAAAGCGAGUGCAGGCG
rnacentral:rRNA from 1 species